UUUUUAACAAUGUUUAGUGUAGUGAAAAAUCAAAUAUUUAAUACUCAAAACAUCAGUAGGCUUGGCACAUUCAAUAAGAGAUAUUCCCAUUUGAGAUAUAACUUUUUUAAUGUACCACCAAAGAAUCUUGCUAAGAAACUGCUUGGUAAAGUGUUGGUUAGAGAAGAGGACGAUGGUGGUGUGUUGAAGGGCGUAAUUGUUGAAACAGAAGCGUACUUGGGCCCCCAUGAUUUAGCAGCUCAUUCUUCAAAAGGGAGAGUUAAGAAAGCCUACCACACAUUUCUACCACCGGGUAUCUGCGGUUUCACUCCUGUCUACGGAAUUCAUAUUGUUUUCAGUAUAUCUUGUCUAGGUGAUGGUACUUGUGUGUUGAUAAGAGCGCUUAUGCCAAUUGCUGGAAUUGAAAAAAUGAUUAGAAAUUGCUUGAACAGUGGCAAGAAACUUAAGAAUAUCAAGGAAUGCAGGAUAUGUUCAGGUCCGGCUAAACUUUGCAAAGCUUUUAAUCUUACGACAGACCUAAACAAAACUGAUAUAAGCAAAGGUUCCGACAAACUGUAUUUUGAAGAUAUAGCUUAUUAUGCAGAAUCGUUUGACAUUGUUGAAUGUCCACGUAUAGGUUUGUCCCAUGAUAAAGUCGGAGAAUGGUAUGGAAAGUACUUGAGGUUUUACAUCUUGGGCCACCCUUCCGUUAGUAAGAAGUGUAAAAAGUGUGAAAAGGCUCUUAAUUUGAAAUAUAAGCAAUGGAUUCUGGGCAACUCUUAUGAUUAGCAAUAACAAAGAAGCAGUGUACUUCAAUGUGUCUUUUAAACUAAAUAACGCGAUGGAUGAUUGUUAUCGAAGCCAAAUAUCUGUUUAAAAUUGGAUGAAUAAUAACAAAUGGUUAAAUUGCUGGCAAACUAAGAGGUCUUUACGUACAACUAUCUGUUGGAUGUCGCAGACAAGGUUUCACAUUUUUAUGUACUAAAAUUAAAUUAAACUGGGCUUUGCCAGGAUUCAAACCCAGAACCACUUGCAUGACAAAUAUAA